rnacentral:rRNA from 1 species
UACAGAGGGGGCAAGCGUUGUUCGGAAUUACUGGGCGUAAAGGGCGCGUAGGCGGCCUUCUAAGUCGAACGUGAAAUCCCCGGGCUCAACCCGGGAACUGCGUCCGAUACUGGAAGGCUUGAAUCCGGGAGAGGGAUGCGGAAUUCCAGGUGUAGCGGUGAAAUGCGUAGAUAUCUGGAGGAACACCGGUGGCGAAGGCGGCAUCCUGGACCGGUAUUGACGCUGAGGCGCGAAAGCUUGGGUAGCAAACGGG